rnacentral:rRNA from 1 species
CCUACGGGUGGCAGCAGUCGAGAAUCAUUCACAAUGGGGGAAACCCUGAUGGUGCGACGCCGCGUGGGGGAAUGAAGGUCUUCGGAUUGUAAACCCCUGUCAUGUGGGAGCAAAUUAAAAAGAUAGUACCACAAGAGGAAGAGACGGCUAACUCUGUGCCAGCAGCCGCGGUAAUACAGAGGUCUCAAGCGUUGUUCGGAAUCACUGGGCGUAAAGCGUGCGUAGGCUGUUUCGUAAGUCGUGUGUGAAAGGCGCGGGCUCAACCCGCGGACGGCACAUGAUACUGCGAGACUAGAGUAAGGGAGGGGGAACCGGAAGUCGUGGGGUAGCAGGGAAAUGCGUAGAUAUCGAGAGGAACACUCGUGGCGAAGGCGGGUUCGUGGACAUUAACUGACGCUGAGGCACGAAGGCCAGGGGAGCGAAAGGGAUUAGAUACCCGUGUAGUC